UUCGCAAUUUUACUACGCGUUUGUAACGGCGUGCUCUGAAGCUCACGCGCUCGUGGUUUAUUUCCAGCAUUUUGGCGGUUAGUUUCGACGGAGCGAUGGCAGUAAACGGAUCUCCAGAAUGGUGUUUCCCCAUUGAUGAUAGUGACUCCAGCAGCCGUGACCUGUCCCACCUCAUGUCACUGUAGUGUCAAAGUGCUUACAGUGCAGGUUGGGAUCGGCCGCAAUGCUCUGCGCUGGAAGUAUUGCACUUGUCCCGGCCUGUGAAGAGCAUGGGGAAUUGUUCGGCUGCAUUUUUGUACGGAAAAGCACAUUAUACAUGAAAUAAAAUGCAUUUAUUUUAUUUAA